rnacentral:rRNA from 1 species
ACUCAAAUGAAUUGACGGGGGCCCGCACAAGCGGUGGAGCAUGUGCAUUAAUUCGUCACUAACCGAAGAACCUUACCAGGGUUUGACAUCCCACGACCGCCGGUGAAAGUCGGUUUUCCCCGCAAGGGGACGUGGAGACAGGUGUUGCAUGGUUGUCGUCAGCUCGUGUCGUGAGAUGUUGGGUUAAGUCCCGCAACGAGCGCAACCCUCACCCAAUGUUGGCAGCGUAAAGUCGGCAACUCUUUGGGAACUGCCCGUGUAAGCGGGAGGAAGGUGGGGAUGACGUCAAAUCGGCAUGGCCCUUACAUCCUGGGCUUGACACAUGCUACAAUGGACGGUAUACAGACCGAAGCGAGACCGCGAGGUGGAGCCAAUCGGAAAAAUCCGUUCUCAGUUCGGAUUGCAGGCUGCAACUCGCCUGCAUGAAGUCGGAAUCGCUAGUAACCGCAGGUCAGCUAAACUGCGGUGAAUACGUUCCCGGGCCUUGUACACACCGCCCGU